UCCUUUCAAUUAUCAAACUUUUAUAUAUAGAGAUGUAUGUAAAGAUGUUUGGAAUAAAGUUGAGAAAAGUAGUAUUGUUUAUAAUAUUACUUUCUUAAAAACCAGAAAUAUUAUGUUUUGAUUUUUCUUCACCUCAUUUUGUAUGAAAUUUUAACAAAUGAGUAUGAGUAAAAAUAACAAUACUUU
rnacentral:misc_RNA from 3 species